rnacentral:rRNA from 1 species
UGGCGGCGAGUGGCGGACGGGUGAGUAAUGCAUAGGAAUCUGCCCAGUAGCGGGGGACAACUUAGGGAAACUUAAGCUAAUACCGCAUACGCCCUACGGGGGAAAGGCCGGGAUCUUCGGACCGGUCGCUAUUGGAUGAGCCUGCGUUGGAUUAGCUAGUUGGUAGGGUAAAGGCCUACCAAGGCGACGAUCCAUAGCUGGUCUGAGAGGAUGAUCAGCCACACUGGAACUGAGACACGGUCCAGACUCC